rnacentral:rRNA from 1 species
GACGAACGCUGGCGGCGUGCUUAACACAUGCAAGUCGAACGAAGAGCGAUGGAAGCUUGCUUCUAUCAAUCUUAGUGGCGAACGGGUGAGUAACGCGUAAUCAACCUGCCCUUCAGAGGGGGACAACAGUUGGAAACGACUGCUAAUACCGCAUACGAUCUAAUCUCGGCAUCGAGGAUAGAUGAAAGGUGGCCUCUACAUGUAAGCUAUCACUGAAGGAGGGGAUUGCGUCUGAUUAGCUAGUUGGAGGGGUAGCGGCCCACCAAGGCGAUGAUCAGUAGCCGGUCUGAGAGGAUGAACGGCCACAUUGGGACUGAGACACGGCCCAGACUCCUACGGGAGGCAGCAGUGGGGAAUCUUCCGCAAUAGACGAAAGUCUGACGGAGCAACGCCGCGUGAGUGAUGACGGCCUUCGGGUUGUAAAGCUCUGUUAAUCGGGACGAAAGGCCUUCUUGCGAAUAGUGAGAAGGAUUGACGGUACCGGAAUAGAAAACCACGGCUAACUACGUG